GACGAACGCUGGCGGCGUGCUUAACACAUGCAAGUCGAACGGUGAACCAGAGCUUGCUCUGGGGAUCAGUGGCGAACGGGUGAGUAACACGUGGGCAACCUGCCCCAGACUCUGGGAUAACCUCGGGAAACCGAUGCUAAUACCGGAUACGACCACUUCGGACAUCCGACGGUGGUGGAAAGUUUUUCGGUCUGGGAUGGGCCCGCGGCCUAUCAGCUAGUUGGUGGGGUAAUGGCCUACCAAGGCGACGACGGGUAGCCGGCCUGAGAGGGCGACCGGCCACACUGGAACUGAGACACGGUCCAGACUCCUACGGGAGGCAGCAGUGGGGAAUAUUGCACAAUGGGCGAAAGCCUGAUGCAGCGACGCCGCGUGAGGGACGACGGCCUUCGGUUGUAACCUACUUUCAGCAGGACGAAGCGAAAGUAGACUGUACCUGCAGAAGAAGAC
rnacentral:rRNA from 1 species